GUCACUGAUUUUAUCACUGAGUCAUUCAUUCAAUUGAUUUGUUUGAAUGGCUGAAUCAUUCAGGUAUGAAGCGAACACUUUAAUCCCUAUGAAGUUAAAGUUCACAUAAAGAGGAAAUUCCAAGUUAUACACAACAGGUUUUUCGGUGAUCUCAAAUGUUGGUCUCCCUAAACUUGCCCCUUUAGCCAGCAGCCACUGACGUUAGCUCAUUAUGCCUCUAUUAAGGUGCCAAAAAACUCCCUCUGUUUGGACUUGUGUUGAGCUGCUCAUAGGAACUUGAGGUCAUGAUUUUAUAGCCAGCCAUCACUAGAUCCAUUGACCCACAGGGAUGGGACUCUGUUCAGCUGAAUGCUUCUUCUCUUCUCUAGCUGGCACACGAGAGACCAAGGCAAUGCUUCUGCUUGAACUUGUUGGUGCUACGAGUUUGCCGUUAUACCUCCGGGAGAGCUGUCUGGGUGAUUGACGUGCAAAUACACAAAACUCUGCGGUCAGUGGUCAACCCUGCAACAUACAUGUGUUUAUGAUUGUUGUUUCAGCCUUUCUCAUCUCUGCCCUGGUUUUCUUCUUUUACUGUAGUGUUUUUAAUCUUUCUCGAGACAUCCUUGUGUGCUGCAAAAGAGUUUGACUCUCACAUACCUCUACUGAUUAUCAGGAACCGCCAGUUGUCCAUCUGUUUGUUUGUUUGUUUUCUAUUGCUGUUGAAAGAUGGACAUGAAUUCAGAUUCACACCUCAAAACGCAGAGCAUGUUCAAUCAAAUUGCUCCAGUGGUUUUACAUGUUUUGGAUUACACAUACAAAACGUACACGCCAACGUAGAUAUUCAACAGACUCAAAGUCAUUGCACAGACAAUCAAUGUGUUCGUAGAGAGUGUUAUAAAAAGAUGUGGAGGGAAGUAAGGGCCACAGCCAGGGUCCAAAAUUAACAUUUUGCCACACCUGACAGUGUUUACUCUUCGCUAAGCUCCACGAUACCUUAGUUAUGGUUGCUUGCAAAACGUCCCAUGUGAAAGUGAAAUAAAUUUGUAUUUUUUAAUGUGUGCAAAAUUUGUUUUACAGCUUUUCCCAAAAUUAUUUUUGUUGCAAAAAAAAUACAAUCUGUGACGGAUGAUUCUUUUGUAGAUUUUAGUAAUUUGCAUGCAUUUCAUUUUAAAUGCUCACAUACAUAUGUGAGAUUCAGAAUAUUGUUUUUACAAUUUGAUUUACGUAAUGCAUUAUGUUGCGGUGUCUUAUGUACUUGAGAAAGGCUUUUUUUUUGCCAAAAGUUAAUUUUGGACCCUGGCCACAGAUCGACGCAUGCAUGCACAGACACGCUGGGAGUCAAUACUAUUUCCUCUGAGCGCACAGGUAAAAAAA